rnacentral:rRNA from 1 species
CACAAGCGGCGGAUUAUGUGGAUUAAUUCGAUGCAACGCGAAAACCUUACCUACCCUUGACAUGCUAGGAACUUGCCAGAGAUGGCUUGGUGCCCGAAAGGGAACCUAGACACAGGUGCUGCAUGGCUGUCGUCAGCUCGUGUCGUGAGAUGUUGGGUUAAGUCCCGCAACGAGCGCAACCCUUGUCAUUAAUUGCCAUCAUUCAGUUGGGCACUUUAAUGAGACUGCCGGUGACAAACCGGAGGAAGGUGGGGAUGACGUCAAGUCCUCAUGGCCCUUAUGGGUAGGGCUUCACACGUAAUACAAUGGUCGGUACAGAGGGUUGCCAACCCGCGAGGGGGAGCCAAUCCCAGAAAACCGAUCGUAGUCCGGAUUGCAGUCUGCAACUCGACUGCAUGAAGUCGGAAUCGCUAGUAAUCGCGGAUCAGCAUGUCGCGGUGAAUACGUUCCCGGGCCUU